AUGCUCAGUUUGGAAGCACAUAUACUAAAAUUAGAACAAUACAGAAAUUAGCAUGGCUCCUGUGCAAGGCUGACACACAAAUUUGUGGAGCCUUCCAUGUUUAA